UUUGAAACAUAACCGAACAAUAGUGAAAUAAUGGUAACGGCGUUUGAGUCAGAGAUACAUAUAGAAGACAGAAUGCGACGCCACCUGCCAUCGAGGUGGACCACCCCUGCUCAACUUUCUUUGCUGUUCAUGGGUUCUCCGGUGUGCGACCGACUAUGACGAUGGUGACAAGACGGAGUGGCGGUUUCCGGCCGGCCACUUGGUCACGGUGGCGCAACUAUGGUGGGUUAUGGCGGUGGUUUGGUGACGAGAGGUUGUGGGGUGCGGCUAGAGUGAUGGUCAUUGGGUCCGAGCCGAAGGGGGGCGGCAGGUGCAGCGACGAUGGUGAGGAAGGGGUUGAUGAAGGGGUGGACUUGGGUGGUGGCUCACGACGGAUUAGGGUUCCGGAGGUGCCACCGGCGCCGCGAGUCCAGCAAGAUUCAAGAAGCAAAAACUCAUCUCCUAUGGGCUCCAAGCGACCGAGGCUUUGCUCCAAGCGACACUCGAGAAUGACGGAUUCAGGCGGCGAUGGUGAAUAGUGUUCCAGACGGCAGUGGUUUCGACAGAGGUGCUUUCCUAUGACGAGGAAGACGAUGAAGAUGACCGAGAGCCGAGAACCACGAAAAGUUGGGAGAUUGGGUGAACCAGUACAACAACACCAUUGUUUGUCGCUGCUUUAGCCUCUAUAUUGUCCACUUUUUCAUCUGGAGCACCAAGACAAUUGUUCAAGCCUUUAAACCUGAUCUAUUCAGGUGAAAGUGGAGAAUAAGAACUGGAAAGUUGAUGCUGAAAGUAGAACCAUUGAUUUGGAACUCACAACUCUAUCAAACACCCAUCAUGUGGAGCUGAACCCCAGUGAUGCAGGGUUUCAAGACCGGUACAUUGCUCAAGAAAUCAUCAAAGAGAUGGCGAAAAACAGACCAAUUGACACCAAAGGAAAGAAGGGUUUCAAAGGUUAGCUUAAAAAUAUUACAAAUUUUAUUUUAAAUUAAUUUAAGCUGGGUAAAAGCGCUAAAACCUCCGCCGCAUCGCGACGGGUUGCACAUCUAGUUAUUAUUAUUAUUAUUAUUAUUAUUAUUAUUAUUAUUGUUAUUGUUAUUGUUAUUGUUAUUAUUAUUAUUUAUUAUUUAUUAUUAUUAUUAUUAUUAUUAUUAUUAUUUUAUUAUUAUAUUAUAUUUUAUAUUUUAUUAAUAAACCAAAUGAUAUGAAUAGUGUUUUUAAUAUAUUAUAAUAAUAUUAUUUUUAAUACCUAUAUAAUAAUAUUAUUUUUAAUACCUAUAAUAUUCUAAUAUUAUAAAAAUAUUAAUUAUUUCUUCACUUCUUAAGCUAGAUAGAUUUUGUGUCAACCGAUACUGGUAUCGAAAAUACAUGUACGGCCCGAUUCGUUAUCAGCAUAUGAAGGUAAAAACCGGUACCAGUCUUGUACAGUUGCACCAGCCUGGUACAGUUAUCGGUACAUAAAGGUAAAAAGCGGCACCAGCCUGGUACAGAAAACGCCAAAAGUCGGUACCGAAAUGAUUUUGAGAAUCUUUUAGUUCGGGAAUUCGGUACUGCUACCCGGUACCAUUUGCUCAUAUCUCAUCACGGUUACCGUACGAACAACAACGGUAUCGUGCAACUUUUUUAGUUGAUUUUCUUCAACUUUUAAUGAUUUCUUUUUUGUUUUUUAGUUUCAGGGGUAGGGAUGUGGUCGGUGCCAACCGAUACCAAUACCGAAAAUACCGGUUACGGUACCGGUAUAUGAAGGUAAAAACCGGUAGGCGCCAAAAGUCGGUACCGAAUUUAUACUUAAGAUAUUUCGGUUCAGGAAAUUCGGUACCGGUACCCAUGUACCAUUUGCUUAUCUCUGACCACGGGUUUUAUACGAACAACAUCAUUACCAAACAACUUUUUUGGUUGAUUUUCUUUGGGUUAUCUUUUAGUGUUGUUUCCUGUAUUUUCUUUUUAUUCUUGUCAGCGAUUCCGUGCGCGACACCCUCGUAGUGAUUUUAAAAUACAUGUAAACACGGACUAAAUAACAAAAGAAGUUCGUCGCAACGCGACGAUUGUGGAAAAACCUAGUUUCUUUUAUUGUUUAAGUAGUUUUUUAUUGUUUAAUUAAAUGAUUUUUAAAAUGUAAAUUCUAUAUUUUUAUUAUGUUAAAUUUAACAUUUUAGUUAUUUAUGGUAUGUUUUAUUAUAUGAUGUUUUACAAAGUUUUGAAAUACGUCGUUUUUUUUCUACGGAAGCUUCUAUGUAGGGAUGAGUAAAUGGUACCUGGUACCGUACUGAACCGAUACCGAACCAGUAUCGGUACCGAAUUUAUCGAACCGGGUACAUUUUCAGUACCGACUUUUGACAUUCUCGGUACUGGUCUGGUACGGUACCGGUUUUUACCCUCAAAUAUCGGUACCGUACCGGUACCGGUACAUCGUACCGGUACCGAACCGUACCGGGUAUAUUCGAUACCGAUACCUACUUUUAAGGAUUUUCGAUAUCGGUAUUUUCGGUUCCAGUACCGGUUCAUUACCGGUCGAUAUCGAGCUCAUCCCUACUUCUAUGUAUAGAAUAAUAAUAAAUAAUGACUAAACCACCAUUUAUGCUAUAUGCUAGAAACCAAAGUCAGUAGAGAAUUCUCCUUCCGGUUUUGGUCCUUCAAUUUUUUGGUUUCGCAAAUUUGGUCUUUGUGUACAAAUUUAUUUGGCUUUAUAAUAUUUGUAUUAACUCUAGAAAAUACUUUUACACCC